GUCGUUGUCAGGCCCGCAUAUUCUUCAGGCAACCUCAGGCCCAACAUGUUUUUUUUAAUUGUUAGUAAAUAACUAUGACGUAAUACAUGCGAAAAAACAAAGGAAUACUUGAGGGACAUGCCGAGCCCACUUACAUAAACAAUAGAGAUAACUUUUUUAUUCUAAAAGCAACAGUUUAAAAGAGUUAAGAAAAGCAUGCCCAUGUUGUGAUCGAAAACCAAAGUAAAUUGAUAUGCGGGUGUGAAUCGUUCUAAUCGAAGGAAUAUAAAAUGGGUACCAGGGGAAAGAAAAUGUUAACACUAAUGACAAACAAAGAGAAGAAUUUAUUAGAUCUUCCAAAAUAUAAGUCUACCAAAAGAAGCACCAAAAAAGAGCAAUUGCAAAUUUUACUUGCUUAUAAAGAAGGUCAUCUAUUUGAAUGUAGAAAAAUAACUACUGAAAGCAAUAAUGCCACAAUCGAGAUGAUUCAACAAUACAAUGACGAAUGUCCUAAAAAUAUGAUUAACCCUAUACCUAAUGAAACAAAUUACCACCAAACAACCUUAUAAUGGCGAGUGUAUUUUAGACACAACAGAUAAUCAAACAAUUAGAAGUGACAAAAUAACUACUGAAAGCAGCGAUGCCACAAUCGAGAUGAUUCGACAAUACAAGAGUGAAGAAUGUCCCAAAAAUAUGAUUAACCCUACAUCUAAUCAAACAAAUUAUGACAACGUUUGAAUCUUCUACUGGCGAGUAUAUUUCAGACACAACAGAUAAUCAAACAGAUAGAAGUGGCAGUAUUCUUGGUUAAAGUUCAAUAAUUUUUAAUAUGUCUAAAGAGAAUGCCAACGAAGCCCUUGAAAAUGAAAAUCUCCGAAACACAAUUUUUGAUCACUUCUCCUGAAAAUAUUAAAACGACUGCUGAAAAAAAUCUGUGUCCAUUUUGCUUCGAAGAUGUCGGACAUUUCUCGCGUCAUUUAAAAAGAAUACACUACGACGAAGAACCAGUUGAAAAGAUCUUCGAAAUGAAAAGUCAAAGUAAGGAAAGGAGGCUAGCCAUAAUAGCUUUACGAAAAAAGGAAAUUUUAUAUUGAAAUCCGAGAAAACCCGUUUAAACCCUGUAAGGAAAUCUGUCUGUAGACUACUAUCCCUGCAAUGGUUGUUUGGGUUAUUACAAAAAGACUUAUUUAUGGAGACACAAAAAAAAAGUGCAGCAUCGAGUUUUCAAACUAGAGGUGGUUCAAAAAUCCAACAUCUUUCUGAAUCUCAAACAUUCUUAACAGCAACUGAUUUACUUGGGAAUUACUUAAACGAAAGCCGUUUAAAGUUAGAAGUUUUUCCAGUAAUGAGGGGAGAUGAGAUUAGUUUAACAGCAAAAAAAGAUGCCCUAAUAUGUCUUUACGGUGAAUCGUAUUUAAAUAAACACAAAAGAAAACAAAUUAAUAUCGUCGCAUCAAACAGAUUAUGAGAAAUGGCUCGACUUAAAUUAGCUUUACAAAAGUUUACUUCAAUACAGAAUGCUCUUGAUUUUUUGAAACCGAAUAUGUAUGAAAAUAUUGUAGCUGCUUCCAAAAUAAUUUGCAAUUAUGACAGUGACAAGAAAAUCUUUAAAGCAUCAUCCUUGGCUCUACACUUGAAGAACCAAUUUGAAAUUUCUUUGCGACGUAGCCAGAAGAGCUGUUUUGACAAGAAAUCUUAUAUUUCCCCAAAUGUCUGAUAAAGAAAGAGAACAAAAAUUGAAAGAAAUAUCUGAAAUUUGAGAUGUAAUAACUAGCCAUUGCUUAAUGAGGUUAAGGUAGGAAGGCCCAAGUUAGUGCCAAUGACUGAAGAUAUUAAAUGCUUCAAUAAUUAUAUUACUACGAGAGCAUCACAAACAUAUCAAAACUUGCAAGAAAAUAAGGAGAUAAUUGUUAAUUAUAAAAUUAUUGCUGAGUGUACGCUUUGCCUUGUUUUGGUUUUUAAUAGGAAACUGAUAGGCGAAAUCUAAUUUUUGGACAUCGAUUCUUAUAAAAGAGAUUACUCUUUAAAUCACGGGGAAUUUUUAAACGCUCUUACAGAGUUUGAAAAAAUUAUGAGCAAAUAUUUCAAAAGAGUAAUGGUCUUUGGCAAAAGAAGUAAACCAGUCCCAAUACUUUUUACAAAACAAAUGCAAAUAUAUAUCGACUUGUUAUUAAAAUUACGAGAAAAUGUUGAUAUUGUUCCUAAGAAGAAUAAGUACGUGUUUGCAAACCCUGGUUCAUCAGACAGAUGGAUGUGUGGGUCCUAUUUAGUUAGAAAAUUCGCAAAAACAUGUGGCCCUAAAAAACCUGAGCUACUAACAUUAACUAAAUUUAGAAAACAGAUAGCCACAAUUUUGCAGUUAAUGAACUUUUAAAGACGAUGAAUUGUUCGUUUUAUGGGACACAAGGAGAAGACACACAGAGAGUUUUACAGCCUAGCUGAAGACACUUACCAGGCUGCGAAAGUGGCAAAAGUACUCUUAUUAUUAAACGCAGGAAAAGGUGAUGAGCUCAAAGGACAAUCUUUAGGGGAUAUAGACGUGACUGAGGAUAUUUUAGACUACGAUGAAAGAGAUUCUAAAAAAGAUGACGACAAGAAACUUGAAAAAACUGAUAUUUGUGUUAAUACACAAAUGAGGGAUAUUUUAGAGUCUCGUGAUGCAGAUAGUUCAACAAACAGUCCAAGAUGACUUACUACCUCAACUGUCAAAGAAGAAUUGUAAAAAAAUGCUCUCCGAUUUUUCCACAACCCGAAGUGGUCGUAUUCGAUGGACUAAAGAAAAUAAGAACUUGGUUCUUCAUUUUAUUUUGAACAAGUUUGAUUAAUUUUAAAUUUUGCAGUGAAAGUUUAUGUUCUUGACCAUGCAGAAUAUUUCAUGUUAAAUAAUUUUCUUUCCCAAAACUGAAAAUAAAU